GAUGAACGCUGGCGGCGUGCCUAAUACAUGCAAGUCGAACGCUUUGUGGUUCAACUGAUUUGAAGAGCUUGCUCAGAUAUGACGAUGGACAUUGCAAAGAGUGGCGAACGGGUGAGUAACACGUGGGAAACCUACCUCUUAGCAGGGGAUAACAUUUGGAAACAGAUGCUAAUACCGUAUAACAAUGACGACCGCAUGGUUGUUAUUUAAAAGAUGGUUCUGCUAUCACUAAGAGAUGGUCCCGCGGUGCAUUAGCUAGUUGGUAAGGUAAUGGCUUACCAAGGCGAUGAUGCAUAGCCGAGUUGAGAGACUGAUCGGCCACAAUGGGACUGAGACACGGCCCAUACUCCUACGGGAGGCAGCAGUAGGGAAUCUUCCACAAUGGGCGAAAGCCUGAUGGAGCAACGCCGCGUGUGUGAUGAAGGGUUUCGGCUCGUAAAACACUGUUGUAAGAGAAGAAUGACAUUGAGAGUAACUGUUCAAUGUGUGACGGUAUCUUACCAGAAAGGAACGGCUAAAUACGUGCCAGCAGCCGCGGUAAUACGUAUGUUCCAAGCGUUAUCCGGAUUUAUUGGGCGUAAAGCGAGCGCAGACGGUUAUUUAAGUCUGAAGUGAAAGCCCUCAGCUCAACUGAGGAAUUGCUUUGGAAACUGGAUGACUUGAGUGCAGUAGAGGAAAGUGGAACUCCAUGUGUAGCGGUGAAAUGCGUAGAUAUAUGGAAGAACACCAGUGGCGAAGGCGGCUUUCUGGACUGUAACUGACGUUGAGGCUCGAAAGUGUGGGUAGCAAACAGGAUUAGAUACCCUGGUAGUCCACACCGAAAACGAUGAGUGCUAGGUGUUUGAGGGUUUCCGCCCUUAAGUGCCGCAGCUAACGCAUUAAGCACUCCGCCUGGGGAGUACGACCGCAAGGUUGAAACUCAAAGGAAUUGACGGGGACCCGCACAAGCGGUGGAGCAUGUGGUUUAAUUCGAAGCAACGCGAAGAACCUUACCAGGUCUUGACAUCCCUUGACAACUCCAGAGAUGGAGCGUUCCCUUCGGGGACAAGGUGACAGGUGGUGCAUGGUUGUCGUCAGCUCGUGUCGUGAGAUGUUGGGUUAAGUCCCGCAACGAGCGCAACCCUUAUUACUAGUUGCCAGCAUUCAGUUGGGCACUCUAGUGAGACUGCCGGUGACAAACCGGAGGAAGGUGGGGAUGACGUCAAAUCAUCAUGCCCCUUAUGACCUGGGCUACACACGUGCUACAAUGGCGUAUACAACGAGUUGCCAACCCGCGAGGGUGAGCUAAUCUCUUAAAGUACGUCUCAGUUCGGAUUGUAGGCUGCAACUCGCCUACAUGAAGUCGGAAUCGCUAGUAAUCGCGGAUCAGCACGCCGCGGUGAAUACGUUCCCGGGUCUUGUACACACCGCCCGUCACACCAUGAGAGUUUGUAACACCCAAAGCCGGUGGGGUAACCUUCGGGAGCCUGCCGUCUAAGGUGGGACAGAUGAUUAGGGUG
rnacentral:rRNA from 1 species